ensembl:snoRNA
UUAAAUGUCCAUCAUGGGAAACACCUUUAGAGUAACUCUGUGGUUUUGCUUUAUUCACAGAGCUCUUUGUUAGAACUAUGGAAAGAAACUACAACAUAGAG